rnacentral:rRNA from 1 species
UACGGAGGUGGCAGGCGUUACUCGGAUUGAUUGGGUGUAAAGGGCGUGUAGGCGGUGAAUUAAGUCGAGUGUGAAAUCCCUUGGCUCAACCAAGGAACUGCAUUCGAAACUGAUUUGCUUGAGUGAUGGAGAGGAAAGCGGAAUUCCCGGUGUAACAGUGAAAUGUGUAGAUAUCGGGAGGAACACCAGUGGCGAAGGCGGCUUUCUGGACAUCCACUGACGCUGAAACGCGAGAGCUAGGGGAG